rnacentral:sRNA from 4 species
CGAAUCCUGCACGACCCACCAAUUUAACAUCAAACUCAGAUGUUGAACGUGAAGGAUAACGUUGCGUCAGCAACGGCCCGUAGGGCGAGGCGAAGCCGAGUCAUCCUGCACGACCCACCA